GAGCAGCCUGGUAGCUCGUCGGGCUCAUAACCCGAAGGUCGUCGGUUCAAAUCCGGCUCCCGCAA
rnacentral:tRNA from 1 species